UAGGGAAUCUUCGGCAAUGGACGAAAGUCUGACCGAGCAACGCCGCGUGAGUGAAGAAGGUUUUCGGAUCGUAAAACUCUGUUGUUAGAGAAGAACAAGGACGUUAGUAACUGAACGUCCCCUGACGGUAUCUAACCAGAAAGCCACGGCUAACUACGUGCCAGCAGCCGCGGUAAUACGUAGGUGGCAAGCGUUGUCCGGAUUUAUUGGGCGUAAAGCGAGCGCAGGCGGUUUCUUAAGUCUGAUGUGAAAGCCCCCGGCUCAACCGGGGAGGGUCAUUGGAAACUGGGAGACUUGAGUGCAGAAGAGGAGAGUGGAAUUCCAUGUGUAGCGGUGAAAUGCGUAGAUAUAUGGAGGAACACCAGUGGCGAAGGCGGCUCUCUGGUCUGAAACUGACGCUGAGGCUCGAAAGCGUGGGGAGCAAACAGG
rnacentral:rRNA from 1 species